rnacentral:lncRNA from 1 species
CAACUUAUUACAGUGUUCCAAGGCAUACUACUUGAUAAAAUCCUCAUGAAAUAUAAAUUAAAUUAAAGGACAAUGAAGUUGUGGAAGAAAACGGCAAGUAUCACCACCGCAAGUCCGCUAGUCAUCGAACUAACAUCGCUUGUUGUUGCUCCUAUUGUUGUUGUUGCUGGUGGCGGUGGUGGUAGUUGUGGUAGACGUGAACGAGUGGGUGGUGGAGGAGAACCGGUGGGGUUUCUCUUUGGUGGACUUUCCGU